UAGAGGACCGACGCAGAGCGCAGGGGGCGGGGCGCGAGCAGGUCUGCGGGCCUGGGCCUGGGCGCCGGGCCGCGGCUGGCAGGGGUGAGCGGAGAGCAGGCGGCGCGGGAGGAAAGCACUGGCCCUCUAGGUGUCCCCGACCCCCGGUCAACUGGAAAAGGCUGAGUGUUCGGGGCCUAAGACAACAGCAGGCGGCGAAGGAAGCGGCUGGAGAGGACCCUGGGAGCCGACCACACGGAGGCCGGACGAAGGGACCGCGAAGCCGCUGGGGAGGCAGGCAGCCGAGCUCCGGGCCCUACGCCACUCCGCAGCCCAUAAAGCGUGCAGGGUCACUCUGCAGCGCUGGCUUGGCGGCUUUAACCAUUUUUGCUCCGGGACCAGUGUUUUUGAGCAGCGUGGGGGAAAGGGGGAGAGGGACGGGACUCCCCCCUUCUUCAGGCCGCUUCCUCUCCUCGCCCCAGCCCCUGCGCUGCCCAUGAAGCCUGUUCUGACCAGCCAGCCGCUUGGUUAGCCCCCAACCCGGAAUUCUCGUCGCUUGUGUACAGCCUACACCAUCUUUCAUCUCUUGAUUCCUGGAUUUCUGACCAUCAGACCUGCCAGGUCAGGAGGAGCCUGCUAUGGUAAAUCACAUAUCAGAAAUCUCAGCAUCACCAGAGACUAAAAUGGAUGUCCAUAUGUCACGGAGAAUGAAAUCUCUUCCCAAUCCCUGUCUUCUGAGCUGACUUGAAGCCUCACAGCCGUUCUGCUGAGACAGAAGGAGGGACUGCAUGACCUGAGGAAGGUUCCUCACCCCACUCACCCCCACCAGCAGGUAGCUGCCACUAUUCAGGUCUCAGCAAAAGAGUGACAUCCUUGGGAAAAUAUUCUCCAACACCCUCCACCCCCAGCCUUAAUAGUAAUUAUCUCAGUUUGUAGCUAUAUCCUCAUCUAUAUCAUCUGGAUAAUGAAUGUCUAACUCAAGUGUCUAUAA